UACGGGGGGAGCAAGCGUUGUUCGGAUUUACUGGGCGUAAAGGGCGCGUAGGCGGCAUGACAAGUCACUUGUGAAAUCUCCGGGCUUAACUCGGAACGGCCAAGUGAUACUGUCGCGCUAGAGUGCGGAAGGGGCAAUCAGAAUUCUUGGUGUAGCGGUGAAAUGCGUAGAUAUCAAGAGGAAUACCUGAGGUGAAGACGGGUUGCUAGGCCGACACUGACGCUGAGUGCGCGAAAGCCAGGGGAGCAAACGGG
rnacentral:rRNA from 1 species